UGGCCUUGACAUACUAGAAACUUUCCAGAGAUGGAUUGGUGCCUUCGGGAAUCUAGAUACAGGUGCUGCAUGGCUGUCGUCAGCUCGUGUCGUGAGAUGUUGGGUUAAGUCCCGCAACGAGCGCAACCCUUUUCCUUACUUGCCAGCAUUUCGGAUGGGAACUUUAAGGAUACUGCCAGUGACAAACUGGAGGAAGGCGGGGACGACGUCAAGUCAUCAUGGCCCUUACGGCCAGGG
rnacentral:rRNA from 1 species